rnacentral:lncRNA from 1 species
GUCGGGAGAAAAUCAUGGAUGUCACCAAUUGGGUGAUAUUUACGUAAAUACGUCAUUCUCUAGAUUUUAACGAAUACUAUCACAUCAUUCCUUCAAAUAGGUAGAAAACAUCGAAUGUUCAGCCUUUUAAAUUGACCAUGUCAGAAAGAAAACGAUAUUUUGUCCACGCGUAAUUGGGUGAAAACAAUGAUUGUCACCCAAGCAAUAUCACUUGCCACGUCGGCACGCUGCGUAGUAAAAUGUAUAUUGUUCGGUUGAUUUGUAAUACACACGUGUUUAGAUAGGUUAGUCGUUAGUUUGUUUACAAAUUAUAACAACAGAGCAGCAGAUUGUUUUAUAACUGCGAAAACUGUACAGUAUUGUUUAGUGUGAGUUCAAUAUAAUAUUAUCUCAUAAUGGCUAAUAGUGAAAAGAGCGAUGGAAAAAAGAAAAAAAAGGGAAGGAUGUACGAGAUGAAAAGCAGAGAACAAAAAAGCAAAAACAAAACAGGAAUAAUCCUGUGACUAAACGCCUGUACUUGGUGACAUCCAUUGUUUUCUUCUUUAAAAAGUGGACAUUACGCGACUAAUUUUUUAUUUUCUUAAAAACAAUUUAACUCUUAUGCUUUGUUUACAUUAGUUUAUAUUAUCAAUACAUUUUUCUAUCAUUA